rnacentral:rRNA from 1 species
GAUGAACGCUGACAGAAUGUUACACAUGCAAGUUACUGAACUCGGUUUGGGUGGCGGACGGGUGAGUAACGCGUAAAGAACUUGCCUCACAGUUAGGGACAACAUUUGGAAACGAAUGUAAUACCUGAUAUUAUGAUUUUAGGGCAUCCUAAGAUUAUGAAAGUAUAUGCGCUGUGAGAGAGCUUUGCGUCCCAUUAGCUAGUUGGAGAGGUAACGGCUCACCAAGGCGAUGAUGGGUAGCCGGCCUGAGAGGGUGAACGGCCACAAGGGGACUGAGACACGGCCCUUACUCCUACGGGAGGCAGCAGUGGGGAAUAUUGGACAAUGGACCAAAAGUUGAUCCAGCAAUUCUGUGUGCACGAUGACGUUUUCGGAAUGUAAAGUGGUCAGUGGGAAGAAAAAAUGACGUACAACAGA